rnacentral:lncRNA from 1 species
UGGCUUUUAACAAGGUAGCCCAUGGGACAUCUAACAGGUGGCUAAUUUUCUCUUAUGCCUUAUUUCUGGAGGCACUGUUAGAGGGAAGGAACCCUAGAGUAACCAGAGGGCAGCCUUUAGAGCCAGAGUAGGUAGCAGAGUUUAGUGGGCUCCUACGUGUCCCUCCCUUUAGUGUCACACUGAGGGCAGAAGGGUCUCUUCUUAUUUCCAAGUAUGGGAAAAAGGUGCCCCCCACAUAGUCCCUCUUCUUCCAUACCCAAACUGGCAGAUACUUCUAUGGAAAAAAGGCCACUUGGUCACAUCACUAAGUGCUUAUUCUAUUUGGAAGAUGGAGGGGCAGUGGGCGCUAGGGUGCUGCUUUGCGUGUGGGCUGCAGCCCUUGGGAACUGACAGAGAUGUGGUCCAUCUCAGCCGGCUGGUGAGAAGGAAGAUGUGCCAGGCAGCCUAACACAGCCAGGGUCUUGACCCACCACACUUUGUCUUUUUUUUUUUUUAAAACUUUCCAGAGAUAAUCAGAGAUCAUUACUUUUGUAAUAAAUAACUCUUGUUUUC